AGGUGUGGAUAGCGGAGAAAUUCCAAUCGAACCCGGAGAUAGCUGGUUCUCCUCGAAAUAGCUUUAGGGCUAGCCUCAUGAGAGUCUUAUGGAGGUAGAGCACUGAAUUGCCUAGGGGGCGUCAAAGCUUACCAAAGCAUAUCAAACUCCGAAUGCCAUCAAGAUGAUUCAUGGGAGUCAGACCAUACGAGAUAAGUUGGAUGGUCAAAAGGGAAAGAGCCCAGACCUACAGCUAAGGUCCCAAAGUGCGUGUUAAGUGGAAAAGGAUGUGGGGAUUCUAAGACAACUAGGACGUUGGCUUAGAAGCAGCCAUUCAUUCAAAGAGUGCGUAAUAGCUCACUAGUCGAGAGUCCCUGCGCCGAAAAUGUCCGGGGCUGAAACACGACACCGAAGCUUAGGAAUGUGUAAACAUUGGUAGAGGAGCAUUGCUGGCGGGAUGAAGCCAUACCGUAAGGAGUGGUGGACUGCCAGGAAGAGAGAAUGCCGGAAUGAGUAGCGAGAUGAAGGUGAGAAUCCUUCAGGCCGAAUAUCUAAGGUUUCCAGAGUAAAGCUGAUCUGCUCUGGGUAAGUCGGGACCUAAGGCGAGGUCGAAAGACGUAGUCGAUGGAUAACAGGUUGAAAUUCCUGUACCGCAUAUAAACAGAACUGUGGGGACACAGACAGGGAAUGGAAUCCGGGAGUGGAAAUCCCGGUGCAAGCGAGGUAGGAGUGCUGCUGGCAAAUCCGCAGCACGAUCUGAAGACGUGACGCGUACCGAACAUAAGUAGGGAAGUCCAGGCCCCUGGCUGUCAAGAAAAGCCGCUAUUGUUUUAUAUGUGCCCGUACCGCAAACCGACACAGGUGGAUGAGGAGAGAAUCCUAAGGCCGACGGGAGAAGUAUUGUUAAGGAACUCGGCAAAAUGACUCCGUAACUUCGGGAGAAGGAGUGCCAUGAGAGUGGCCGCAGAGAAAUGGCCCAAGCAACUGUUUAGCAAAAACACAGGUCUAUGCAAAACCGCAAGGUGAAGUAUAUGGGCUGACGCCUGCCCGGUGCUGGAAGGUUAAGGGGAGAGGUUAGCGCAAGCGAAGCUUUGAACUUAAGCCCCAGUAAACGGCGGCCGUAACUAUAACGGUCCUAAGGUAGCGAAAUUCCUUGUCGGGUAAGUUCC
rnacentral:rRNA from 1 species